ACCAAUCUGUUGCCUCGGCGGGAUUCUCUGCCCCGGGCGCGUCGCAGCCCCGGAUCCCAUGGCGCCCGCCGGAGGACCAACUCAAACUCUUUUUUCUCUCCGUCGCGGCCUACGUCGCGGCUCUGUUUUAUUUUUGCUCUGAGCCUUUCUCGGCGACCCUAGCGGGCGUCUCGAAAAUGAAUCAAAACUUUCAACAACGGAUCUCUUGGUUCUGGCAUCGAUGAAGAACGCAGCGAAAUGCGAUAAGUAAUGUGAAUUGCAGAAUUCAGUGAAUCAUCGAAUCUUUGAACGCACAUUGCGCCCGCCAGUAUUCUGGCGGGCAUGCCUGUCCGAGCGUCAUUUCAACCCUCGAACCCCUCCGGGGGGUCGGCGUUGGGGAUCGGCCCCUCACCGGGCCGCCCCCGAAAUACAGUGGCGGUCUCGCCGCAGCCUCUCCUGCGCAGUAGUUUGCACACUCGCACCGGGAGCGCGGCGCGGCCACAGCCGUAAAACACCCCAAACUCUGAAAUGUUGACCUCGGAUCAGGUAGGAAUACCCGCUGAACUUAAGCAUAUCAAA
rnacentral:rRNA from 1 species